UACGUAGGGGGCGAGCGUUGUCCGGAGUUACUGGGCGUAAAGCGCACGCAGGCGGUCUGUGAAGUUUGGAGUGACAGUUGGUGGCUCAACCACCAAAGUGCUUUGAAAACUGACAGACUUGAGGGCUUCAGAGGGACACGGAAUUCCGGGUGGAGUGGUGAAAUGCGUAGAGAUCCGGAGGAACACCAAAGGCGAAGGCAGUGUCCUGGGGGGUACCUGACGCUCAGGUGCGAAAGCCAGGGGAGCGAACGGG
rnacentral:rRNA from 1 species